rnacentral:rRNA from 1 species
GACGAACGCUGGCGGCGUGCUUAACACAUGCAAGUCGAACGGGAAGGCCCUGCUUUUGUGGGGUGCUCGAGUGGCGAACGGGUGAGUAACACGUGAGUAACCUGCCCCUGACUUUGGGAUAACUUCAGGAAACUGGGGCUAAUACCGGAUAGGAGCUCCUGCUGCAUGGUGGGGGUUGGAAAGUUUCGGCGGUUGGGGAUGGAAUCGCGGCUUAUCAGCUUGUUGGUGGGGUAGUGGCUUACCAAGGCUUUGACGGGUAGCCGGCCUGAGAGGGUGACCGGCCACAUUGGGACUGAGAUGCGGCACAGACUCCUACGGGAGGCAGCAGUGGGGAAUAUUGCACAAGGGGCGGAAGCCUGAUGCAGCAACGCCGCGUGCGGGAUGACGGCCUUCGGGUUGUAAACCGCUUUCGCCUGUGACGAAGCGUGAGUGACGGUAAUGGGUAAAGAAGCACCGGCUAACUACGUG